GGUUGGUCCAAGUGCAGUGGUGGUGCUUACAACUAAUUGAUCACAACCAGUUACAGAUUCCUUUGUUCCUUCUCCACUCCCACUGCUCUACUUGACCAACCUAAA
rnacentral:Y_RNA from 1 species